GACGACUCGGCGUCUUGUUUACGUCAAGAGUGGGGAAAGGUUGAAUGACUGUGCGAGCGAGACAGCGCUUAUUUAAAUGCCCUUGCGCAGUCAAUAACCUGUUGCGUCCGCCUCGAGCUGUGUUGCUGUGCAUGGCUGCGUACUCGGUGAUUUUCACGCUGAUUGCCAGCAAGACGUACGCAAUGCGUCGCAUAGUAUUAUGAACUCUCGUAUCAUUUGUCAAAAUAAAGUUCUAUUAAAAGGAUCUUAACGCUAAAUUAUGUUAAAUAAAUUUCUCGGGAUUUCGAAGUUUUACACAAUACAAUAUUAUAUCUACGUUGAUGUUAUUCGAAUUUGUUUCGCGAUGUGCUUCGAUGUAAUCGGAAAUUCGGAGUGACGACGAAUUGCUGAAAUGUGAAAAUGCAAUGGCUUUGGCAGACCAUCCGUUACACGUGCAUCGGUAACAUAUACGCCUCAGCUGACAACAUUGAACGACUUUUCUGCUUAUUAUCUCAUUUGCGUCGCAUCAUGCUCCAAUCUCCGCCUGUGUAUUCACGUGCAGAGUGAUUAGCAAUCAAAGUUUACACAAUAAAUUUGGCCAGAAAAAGAUGAGUUCAACCUGGUCAGAAGAACAAAGAGAAGAUACAAUAUAAGUUGGUAUUCAAGACCAUUAAUAUAAUAAUAUAAAAAUACACGAGGUAAGAUUUUAUAAUAUAUUCUGCACAUACGUGCAAUAUCGUGCGUUAUGGGAGACAGAAAAAAGAUCUUCAGCUUAAUUCCAUACAAUCGUGAAUUUGUCAUUUUUUAAAAACUCUUUUAAAAUAUUAAUAUAUUUUUUUCAUUUCGGAUAUAAUCGCGAUAGUGAUUAAUUAAUUAUACGGGUAAGUAGAAAUAAAAUUACACGCGGACAUGUAGAAAUAUGGUUAGAAAUAAAUACGCAUAAAUAAAAAAAUCAAUAUAGGAAGGUAAUGUAUAGAAAUAAAUAC